UUGGUUACUCCCUUCUUGGAACCCCCUCUUUAAUUUGACUGCCCCUUGGGAAACUACCCCGGGCCCGAGACCUACAGGGUUGACCGAAUGAUAACUUUUUCUUGAUUCCGGGGAUGGUGGUGCAUGGGCGUGCUUAAAUCGUGGAAUUUUGCCUCCUUUAAUUUGAGGAAAUUCGAGGUCUAGCUUGUAAAGAAAAACCGUCCAACUAUCGCCCUUGUGUCAACUUAGAGGAGCAUGUCGAGUUUCUUGGACUUUACGUACUCCUCAACCUUGGUGUCCGGCUCCUUGAAGAUUGCCGGAGUGCUUAACCCCUUGCUCUUAAAGGCCUCAGGCAGUUCUUGAAAAAAAGGCAGCUCCUUGUCCCAUCCAAUGCAACCGCAGGGCAAUCGCACCAACACGUUCCCCUUUUGAGCCAAUUCAUUCAGAUCAAUGGUCUUGCCAGCGGAAUCCUUGAUCUUGAAUGUGGGAGCUUUGUCGCCAACCCAAAGCUGACUCGCGGCCGGUUCCUUGUUCUUUUUC
rnacentral:rRNA from 1 species